UACAGAGGGUGCAAGCGUUAAUCGGAAUUACUGGGCGUAAAGCGUGCGUAGACGGUUAUGUAAGUCAGGUGUGAAAGCCCCGGGCUCAACCUGGGAAUUGCAUUUGAAACUGCAUAGCUAGGGUGCGGAAGAGGGAAGCGGAAUUUCCGGUGUAGCGGUGAAAUGCGUAGAUAUCGGAAGGAACAUCAGUGGCGAAAGCGGCUUCCUGGUCCAGCACCGACGUUCAGGCACGAAAGCGUGGGGAGCGAACAGG
rnacentral:rRNA from 1 species